AACACUCGAAGAUUAUCUUGAUAAUGAGCGGAUCUCAUCAUCCGGUUCAUUAUUUUCUUUUCAUGUGAUAUAUUGUAUGACAAAUAAAAUAACAAAUGAAAAUCUUGAUUUAUGCAAAAAUUGCCAAGAAAUUAUUCAUACCACGUCUCGAUCAUAAUUCGACUUUGCAAUGUCCAAGUUACCUCAACGGCGGAGGUAGAGAGAGGUGACGUUGCUUCAUCAAUUAUAUGUUACAUGCAACAAGAAAAUGUCGCAGAAGAUGUAGCAAGAAAAUAUAUCGAAAGCAUAAUUUUGGAUUCGUGGAAGAAGAUUAAUUACCAUUUUAAUAACCUUUCUACAUCACAGAACAAAAUUGUUAAUCAUGUAACUAAUGGAGCACGAAUGGAUUUGGGGUUCAAGAUGGAGAAACUCGACACCAUAUCCUUCUCAACUUGGUUGAACCUAUUAUAUAAAAUUAAAAGUAUUUUUGAUAAGCAAAUUGUGUUUAAUUGAUACUAUUCGAGAGUCAACUUACGAAAAAAGGAAAAUGUCAAUCCACUUUUAAUACAUAGAUAAGUAAAAAAUAAAUUAAAUAUUGAUAUA